rnacentral:rRNA from 1 species
GACGAACGCUGGCGGCGUGCUUAACACAUGCCAGUCGAACGGAAAGGCCCUGCUUUUGUGGGGUGCUCGAGUGGCGAACGGGUGAGUAACACGUGAGUAACCUGCCCUUGACUUUGGGAUAACUUCAGGAAACUGGGGCUAAUACCGGAUAGGAGCUCCUGCUGCAUGGUGGGGGUUGGAAAGUUUCGGCGGUUGGGGAUGGACUUGCGGCUUAUCAGCUUGUUGGUGGGGUAGUGGCUUACCAAGGCUUUGACGGGUAGCCGGCCUGAGAGGGUGACCGGCCACAUUGGGACUGAGAUACGGCCCAGACUCCUACGGGAGGCAGCAGUGGGGAAUAUUGCACAAUGGGCGGAAGCCUGAUGCAGCAACGCCGCGUGCGGGAUGACGGCCUUCGGGUUGUAAACCGCUUUCGCCUGUGACGAAGCGUGAGUGACGGUAAUGGGUAAAGAAGCACCGGCUAACUACGU